GAUGAACGCUGGCGGCGUGCCUAAUACAUGCAAGUCGAGCGAACGGACGAGAAGCUUGCCCCUCUGAUGUUAGCGGCGGACGGGUGAGUAACACGUGGAUAACCUACCUAUAAGACUGGGAUAACUUCGGGAAACCGGAGCUAAUACCGGAUAAUAUUUUGAACCGCAUGGUUCAAUAGUGAAAGACGGUCUUGCUGUCACUUAUAGAUGGAUCCGCGCUGCAUUAGCUAGUUGGUAAGGUAACGGCUUACCAAGGCAACGAUGCAUAGCCGACCUGAGAGGGUGAUCGGCCACACUGGAACUGAGACACGGUCCAGACUCCUACGGGAGGCAGCAGUAGGGAAUCUUCCGCAAUGGGCGAAAGCCUGACGGAGCAACGCCGCGUGAGUGAUGAAGGUCUUCGGAUCGUAAAACUCUGUUAUUAGGGAAGAACAUAUGUGUAAGUAACUAUGCACAUCUUGACGGUACCUAAUCAGAAAGCCACGGCUAACUACGUG
rnacentral:rRNA from 1 species